rnacentral:rRNA from 1 species
GAUGAACGCUGGCGGCGUGCCUAAUACAUGCAAGUCGAGCGAACAGACGAGGAGCUUGCUCCUCUGACGUUAGCUGCGGACGGGUGAGUAACACGUGGAUAACCUACCUAUAAGACUGGGAUAACUUCGGGAAACCGGAGCUAAUACCGGAUAAUAUAUUGAACCGCAUGGUUCAAUAGUGAAAGACGGUUUUGCUGUCACUUAUAGAUGGAUCCGCGCCGCAUUAGCUAGUUGUUAAGGUAACGGCUUACCAAGGAAACGAUGCGUAGCCGACUGAGAGGGUGAUCGGCCACACUGGAACGGAGACACGGUCCAGACUCCUACGGGAGGCAGCAGUAGGGAAUCUUCCGCAAUGGGCGAAAGCCUGAAGGAGCAGAGCCGCGUGAGUGAUGAAGGUCUUCGGAUCGUAAAACUAUGUUAUUAGGGAAGAACAAAUGUGUAAGUAACUAUGCACGUCUUGACGGUACCUAAUCAGAAAGCCAGGGCUAACUCCGUG